rnacentral:sRNA from 1 species
GCCAGGCACAAUGGCUCAUGCCUGUAAUCCCAGUGGCUCAGGAGGCUGAGGCAGGAGGAUCACAAGUUUGAAGCCAGCCUCAGCAAAUUAGCACAGCCCUAAACAAAUUAGGGAAACCCUGUCUCAA